rnacentral:lncRNA from 1 species
CCAUUACUUUCACAUUUUUUAGCCAAGUCAACAAUAAAUUUUGAGAAUCAUAUAUAGAAGGUAGAUUUGGUAUAGUAGACAUAUUAUCAUCUAUCACUAGCUCUACCACCAUUCCACUCCACUAUGAAGUUUCCCCAAAAAACCCGAGACGCCUAUAAUGGAGAAUGUGUUCAUCCACAAAAAGCAACUAGGUAGCCUAUUAUAUUUGCACAACGUGAUCGGUGAAUAUUUGUUUGGUUUAGGCGAUUCUUCACUUCACUACAUAUAUGUAGGCCAUAAACAAAUGCGAGUCACUAAUCUUCAUAAAACCACAUGGGAUUAGCGCAUAUUAUUAUUUUUUUAAUAAUUUAUAUAAGAUAUUGGUUAACACCAAAAAUCCAAUUAUCACGUAUAGUGCAAAUACAUAUGAUAUUAGUUGUAAUUGUGUAUAAUGAAAAGAAAAAUGACAUGGUACAAAUCGUUGAAAUUAAAUUUGAUGCUCAUAGCACUUGGGUUGUGAUAGUGGUGUGUGAGGACCUAGCUAGGUGGUCUUGGAAGGGAAAGAAAAGAGGAAAAUAUUUUUAAAAAAUAAAAUCAAAAAGGAAAAAUCAUAAAGAGAAUGGCAUAAACGAAUUAGUAAUACUAGUGGAUUAGACUUUGAAGUGGUGGGGUGGUGAAACAAGUUGGUGCCAUGUGACCAAAAAGAACCCAAGAAGAAAAAAAUUGUGAUGAUGCAAAGAAAUAAUAAGAAAGACAAAGUUAUGGAAAACCCUAGAAAACGAAAGGAGUUUAGUUUGGGUUGGAAAUGUGUGGGUCAAAUAAUUCGGAGUUAUUAUUGACUAGAUGAGGACAAAGUAAUUGUGCUAAGCAAUGUUUUUUUUUUAUUUUUUUUAUAGAUUC